GACGAACGCUGGCGGCGUGCCUAAUACAUGCAAGUCGAACGCUUCUUUCCUCCCGAGUGCUUGCACUCAAUUGGAAAGAGGAGUGGCGGACGGGUGAGUAACACGUGGGUAACCUACCCAUCAGAGGGGGAUAACACUUGGAAACAGGUGCUAAUACCGCAUAACAGUUUAUGCCGCAUGGCAUAAGAGUGAAAGGCGCUUUCGGGUGUCGUUGAUGGAUGGACCCGCGGUGCAUUAGCUAGUUGGUGAGGUAACGGCUCACCAAGGCCACGAUGCAUAGCCGACCUGAGAGGGUGAUCGGCCACACUGGGACUGAGACACGGCCCAGACUCCUACGGGAGGCAGCAGUAGGGAAUCUUCGGCAAUGGAGGAAAGUCUGACCGAGCAACGCCGCGUGAGUGAAGAAGGUUUUCGGAUCGUAAAACUCUGUUGUUAGAGAAGAACAAGGACGUUAGUAACUGAACGUCCCCUGACGGUAUCUAACCAGAAAGCCACGGCUAACUACGUG
rnacentral:rRNA from 1 species